rnacentral:lncRNA from 1 species
AACUCAGACUGCUCCGGACAGUGGCGAACCUGCCAAGGAUUUCCAGUCACAUGAAAGCCAAGAGGAGCAGUAGCCGUUGCAGGCAGAUGAAGGAAUCAAUUUUUUUUAUGGCUCGCUCUCUCGCUGCCCAUGAACCGGGAGGUAGUUAGGUUGAAACAUACCCGACGAGCAACUAGAAGUUUGGUUCUUCUACCCUGUAUGUGGCUGGGGCACGGGACAGAUGUUCUUCGCUUUUUUUCUUGUGACUAUUUGACAUUACAUAAUAAUGCCCCUGUGUUUGAUGGGUUUCUUUCAAUGUGAUACAUUUGUUUGCAAGGAGACGCCGAUCGCAGUUAGUCGGGCUCCAGUACCCUAUAUUCGGUCUUAUCAGGGGAGUACGAUAAAUAUGACACACCAUUAAACGUGUCUUUCACUGAAUAUCGCUUAAAGGAGUUCGUGGUUUCCUUUCGUAGUUCAGUCCUGCAGAAUCUGGAAGGGAAUCAUGGAGUCGACGAUAAUUUAUUUAGUUGACGUGGUGCGUAACGUUGCUUUGCCCGACCUCGUAAACGUGAAUAGUAGCUACAAUGACAUGAGUGCACAGUUGAAACCGUGCCACUUGGUUGGUUUCUAUUCCUCGCUCCCUCAUAGUUAUGACUGUUUGCGUUGCGAGGUACUGCAUAUUUCAUCAUGUAGCCUUUAUUUUUGUUUUUACUUCAGUAUGUUGCUGAGGAGUUCACUGUGUUUUCCAUAACAUGUGCAACGUCGUACCACUUUGUCGCCUGGUGAUGAACUGGCAACCGGGGACAGAUGAUACCACAGGCAGCAGUAUUUGGCAGUCCUUGGGAGGACGAGGUGUAGAUUAUCACUAGUCCCCUUUGUGAUUAUGGUGACACGAGAUUUUCCCCUCUUUGAAGCUCUGAGUAUAGCGUGAUUUGCGGGGUGUGUCUCUGGUUGCUGAAGAUGGGUUGUCCAUUCGAACGUGAAGCUCGAUAAUGUUUGGCGUUAUGAAGCUUGAAAAAAAGAAACAUAACUCCUCAUUAUGUCAUGCGCAAGGAUUGUUCUGCAACCUGUGUGCAAGGGACGGAUUGUUGCAGGACAUGAUGUACGACAUUGUUUUUCGUAUUCCAUGUCUAAAGGCGUGUCAUUUGAGUCACAUUCCUGCACCAAACCUCCAAUGACAGGCGCUGUGCUUUGGAGAGUACGCAAGGAUUUGAAUCGCUCUACCUGUUGGUAGAUAUCUUUUCUUGUUUUCCGUUUUGUCACAGCACCGUAUCUGUCUCCCGGGCAGCGCAAACAAGCAUCAGCUUUCUGCUAGUAUGAUGUUUUCUGGCAUAGGCUUUCAAAGAUAUGGUAAUGGUAAACUGCACGAUGAGACGUUGCUCCCUAGAGGAAGUAUGCAAACCCAUACAGCAGCCAAAGCGUUCGCAAAUAAAUUUCAUUGCAUGACAAGCCCCACGCUCGUCAGCGCAUUUGCCGAAUAUUCUUGGGAGAGUCCCAUUUUUUGAUGUUUUCUGGAAACACGUGCUACCUCUUAACACCCCAGCAAGUUUUCUUACUGAAACCAAGACGCGAU